UGAACAUUUAAAGUGAUACCGGACAUACCAUCUCGAUCAUCCGUUGGUGACACGGGCACAUUAUACUUUUAUAUAAUCAUCUGAUCCACUACCAUCCUAUCCCUUGCAGAUCCGCAGUCGAAUUUUCAUUUCCUGCCCCCUACGACUGCUCGCCGUCCCGUUGUACCCCAGCCAACAGACAACAGCACAGCUUACAACUGGGGCUCACUACAACCUUGAUGGAUACCCUUCCCCUAACCAUGGUGUUCGAAGAGGAUGUAUUGGGAGGAGGAUUCAUCAAUAAAUACCCUGGAACAAUGUUUGUGGUGCACUCACUCAUGACACUUUUCUAAGUGAUAAAUCGUCUUCAAGCUUAAUAAGCAACCAGUCACAAGGGGAAGAAAUACAGAUUGAGGCCUUCAAUCAAACUGAGGACAGAGAAAUUUGUGUGCACCAGUUCAUGCAUUCAACAAGCUUUGAACGAAGGGCUUCCACGGGGCCGCCGUCUCCAAAGACAAUAGUGCUGAACUGGGUUUGAUUUUGUUUUUGUUGUUUUCAUUAUUUCAGUUUUGUUCGUUCUCUUUUUAACAUCCAUGGGUUGAAAGCUCAUUGUUCAGUUAUCACUUUGCCCGUGUAAAUUCUGUAGUUGUCCCUUUAAACCUAAUCCUAAAAUCAAAUCAAAGUUUGUUGGUCGUGUACACAGAUUUACAAAUGUUAUGGCAGGUGCAGCGAACUGCUUGGAUUUCUAGCUGCAAUAAUAAAAAAAAUACACACAAAAAUAAUGUGUUUAUGUAGAAUGAGCCAUGACUAGAAUGCAGUAUAUACAUUUAAAGUGGGUGAAACAGUAUGUAAACAUUAACGUGACCAGUGUUCAAUGACUAUGUACAUAGGGCAGCAGUCUCUAAGGUGCAGGGUACAGUACCGGCUGGUAGACAGGCUAGACCAGUGGCUAAGGUGCAGGGUAGAGUACCGGCCGGUAGCCGGCUAGACCAGUGGCUAAGGUGCAGGGUAGAGUACCGGCCGUUAGUCGGCUAGACCAGUUGCUAAGGUGCAGGGUAGAGUACCGGCCGGAAGCCGGCUAGACCAGUGGCUAAGGUGCAGGGUAGAGUACCGGCCAGUAGCCGGCUAGAACAGUGGCUAAGGUGCAGGGUAGAGUACCGGCUGGUAGCCGGCUAGACCAGUGGCUAAGGUUCAGGGUAGAGUACCGGCUGGUAGCCGGCUAGACCAGUGGCUAAGGUUCAGGGUAGAGUACCGGCUGGUAGCUGGCUAGAACAGUGGCUAAGGUUCAGGGUAGAGUACCGGCUGGUAGCCGGCUAGAACAGUGGCUAAGGUGCAGGGUAGAGUACCGGCCGGUAGCCGGCUAGAACAGUGGCUAAGGUGCAGGGUAGAGUACCGGCCGGUAGCCGGCUAGACCAGUGGCUAAGGUGCAGGGUAGAGUACUGGCCGGUAGCCGGCUAGAACAGUGGCUAAGGUGCAGGGUAGAGUACCGGCCGGUAGCCGGCUAGAACAGUGGCUAAGGUGCAGGGUAGAGUACCGGCCGGUAGCCGGCUAGAACAGUGGCUAAGGUGCAGGGUAGAGUACCGGCCGGUAGCCGGCUAGAACAGUGGCUAAGGUGCAGGGUAGAGUACCGGCCGGUAGCCGGCUAGAACAGUGGCUAAGGUGCAGGGUAGAGUACUGGCCGGUAGCCGGCUAGAACAGUGGCUAAGGUGCAGGGCAGCAUACAAGGCUGGCUAGUGGUGACUGUUUAACAGUCUGAUGGUCUGGAGAUAAAAACUGUUUUCUCAGUCUCUUGGUCCAAGCAAAGCUGUUCGCACCUGUACUGUCUCCACCUUCUAGGGUGAACAGGCCGUGGCUCCGGUGGCUGAGGUCCUUGAUGAUCUUCUUGGCCUUCCUGUGACACCGGGUGCUGUAGAUGUCUUGGAUGGCAGGCAUUUCUCGUAUGUAAAUGUGGCUACAUGAAAAUAUUAAA